AUGGAGAGUUUGAUCCUGGCUCAGGAUGAACGCUGGCGGUAUGCUUAACACAUGCAAGUCGAACGAACUAAUGGGCAACUAUUAGUUAGUGGCGGACGGGUGAGUAACGCGUAAGAAUCUACCUUUUGGAGAGGGAUAACAUCGGGAAACUGAUGCUAAUACCUCAUAGUACUGAGGAGUUAAAGCAGCGAAAGCUGGCCAAAAGAGGAGCUUGCGUCUGAUUAGCUAGUUGGUGAGGGUAAAAGCCUCCCAAGGCCACGAUCAGUAGCUGGUUUGAGAGGAUGAUCAGCCACACUGGGACUGAGACACGGCCCAGACUUUAAUAAGGCAGCAGUGAGGAAUAUUGGACAAUGGGAGAAAUCCUGAUCCAGCAAUACUGAAAGGGUGAGCGCAGGAAUUUUAUUUUCUGGAAGGCUGUAAAAAAGAGGUUGUAAAACUCUUUCGUCGAGGAGGAAAAUGACAGUACUCGAAAAAGAAGUCCCGGCUAACUUCGUGCCAGCAGCCGCGGUAA
rnacentral:rRNA from 1 species